rnacentral:rRNA from 1 species
GACGAACGCUGGCGGCGUGCUUAACACAUUCAAGUCGAACGGAAAGGCCCUGCUUUUGUUGGGUGCUCGAGUGGCGAACGGGUGAGUAACACGUGAGUAACCUGCCCUUGACUUUGGGAUAACUUCAGGAAACUGGGGCUAAUACCCGAUAGGAGCUCCUGCUGCAUGGUGGGGGUUGGAAAGUUUCGGCGGUUGGGGAUGGACUCGCGGCUUAUCAGCUUGUUGGUGGGGUAGUGGCUUACCAAGGCUUUGACGGGUAGCCGGCCUGAGAGGGUGACCGGCCACAUUGGGACUGAGAUACGGCCCAGACUCCUACGGGAGGCAGCAGUGGGGAAUAUUGCACAAUGGGCGGAAGCCUGAUGCAGCAACGCCGCGUGCGGGAUGACGGCCUUCGGGUUGUAAACCGCUUUCGCCUGUGACGAAGCGUGAGUGACGGUAAUGGGUAAAGAAGCACCGGCUAACUACGUG